UUCUCUAUGAUGUUUAAAUGAAAACUUUCGUUCUCCUGAGUAGAAAAUGCUGAAAAUUUGUGGAGACCUGAGCUGAAGAGAA